UAUCUCUGUAGAGUCUGCAUAUCAAUAAGCGGAGGAAAAGAAACUAACUAGGAUUCCCUCAGUAACGGCGAGUGAAGCGGGAAGAGCUCAAAUUUGAAAUCUUCAAGGUUCUACCUUGACGAAUUGUAGUUUAAAGAAGUGUUUUCUGUUGGAAGUUUUGGUAAAAGUUCUUUGGAAAUAGGACAUCAUAAGAGGGUGAGAAUCCCGUAUUUGACCAUUAUUUCCAACUUUGUGAUACACUUUCAAAGAGUCGGAUUGUUUGGGAAUGCAGUCCAAAAUGGGUGGUAAAUUUCAUCUAAAGCUAAAUACUGGCGAGAGACCUGAUAGCGAACAAGUACCGUGAGGGAAAGAUGAAAAGAACUUUGAAAAGAGAGUUAAACAGUACGUGAAAUUGUCAAAAGGGAAGCGUUUGACACCAGUGUUGUUUUCUCGAAAAUCAAUUAAAAAUGGCUGGAUUUUGUGUUGUAUUGACUUUAAUCAGCUUUCUGCACUUUUUUCCUGUCUUUUUUAAUGCACUUUUCGUUUAACAAGUCAACAUCAAGUUUCUUUUGUUGUAAAAAGGGUCAUUGGAAGGUGGCUUUCUUUUCGGAGAAAGUGUUUAUAGCCUUUGGCCUCUGCAAUCGGAGAGAUUGAGGUCUGCAGCGUAGAUCCUUCGGGGUUAGAUACAUUUGUGCUAAGCUAUAGCCUUUUCAUAGACAAGCUUGUUGACUAUGAUUCAGUCAUGUAGCUUACUCGCUUAUGCUAUUUUACCUACGCUUAGGAUGUUGAUCUCUCACAGUCGAGC
rnacentral:rRNA from 1 species